CUCAAGAUGCAGUCAGAGAUCAGAGGCUGCACUCAUCAUAGCAGUGGAGCAGGACCAGCUGGGACAGGGUCCUUCUGUGACACCUGCCGCAUCACCAGGUUGUGUGAACAAACUCAGCUGCCAGAACUCACAGAAUAUCAGUAUCAGCACCGAAAACUCACAGGAAAAAUGUGGCUCCAGGUUUAGCUCCACAAACUUCAGACUUGAACAGCAUCACUGGCUCCUGACCAGGAUUCCAGCUCCAUGAACCUCAAACUAGAACACCAGCCCACCUUCUCCACAUGUGUACGGCUCCAAAACCUAAGACAUCAGUGGCAGUACCUACUCCUCCCGGGGGCUCCAGCUCCAGGACACUCAGACUUGAACCACAGCACCAACUCUUCCCUGGGUCUCCAGCUCCAUGACCCUCAGACUUAAACAACAGCAGCACCAGCUCAUCCGUGGGUCUCCAGCUCCAUGACCCUCAAAUUAGAACUACACCAGUUCCUCCCCAGGUCUCCAGCUCCACAACCCUCAAACUAGAACAACAUCAGCUCCUCCCAGGGUCUCCAACUCCAUGACCCUCAAACUAGAACAACAGUGCUCACCCCUGGAUCUCCAUCUCCACAAACCUCAGACUAGAACACCAACACCGGCUCCUCCGCACCUCUUCAGCUCCACAACCUAAGACAUCAGUGGCAGCAUUGGCUCCUCCCAUAGAUUCCAGCUCCAGGACCCUCAGAUUUGAGGACCCAGUCACUCAAACUAGAACAACACCAGCUCCUCCCCAGGUCUGCAGCUGCACGACACUCAAACUAGAACAUCAGCUCCUCCCAGGGUCUCCAGCUGCAAGACCCUCAAACUAGAACAUCAACUCCUCCCAGGGUCUCCAGCUGCACGAACCUCAAACCAGAUCUUCAGCUCCUCCCCAGGUCUCCAGCUACACGACCCUCAAACUUGAACAUUAGCUCCUCCCUGGGUCUCCAGCUCUACAACCAUCAAACUAGAACACCAUCAGCUCCUCUCCGGGUCUCCAGCUCCACAUCUCUCAAAUUAGAACAGCAUCAGCUUCUCCCCGGGUCUCCAGCUUCAUGACCCUGAAACUAGAAAAACACCAGCUCCUCCCUGGGUCUCCAAGCUCCAUGACCCUCAAAGUAGAACAACGUCAGCUCCUCCUCGGUCUCCAGCUGCACAACCCUCAAACUGGAAAAACAGUAGCAAACUAAAAAAACUCCCUGGAUUUUUCUAGUUUGAGGAUCAUGCACCUGGACACCUGGGAAGGAGCUGAUUUUAAUCUAGUUUGAGCGUCAUGAGCUGGACACUAAGGGAGGAGCUGGUGUUUUUCCAGUUUCAGGGUCAUGGAGCUGGACACCCAGGGAGGCGCUGGUGUUCCUCUAGUUUGAGGGUCUUACAGCUGGAGACCCGAGGAGGAGCUGACGUUGUUCUAGUUUGAGGGUUUGUGGAGCUGGAGAUCCAGGGGGGAGGAGUGUUUUUCUAGUUUGAGGUCGAUUGAGGGUCAGCUGCGUGACCCUCAAACUAGAGAAACACCAGCUGCCCCCUGGGUCUCCAGCUCCACAAACCUCAAACUAGAGCAACAUCAGCUUCUCCCCUGGCCUCCAGCUCCAUGACCCUCAAACUAGAAUAGCGUCAGCUCCUCCUCAGGUCUCCAGCUCCAUGACCCUCAAACUAAAACAACAUCAGCUCCUCCUUGGAUCUCCAGCUCCAUGACCCUCAGACUUAAACAAGAGCAGCACCAGCUCCUCUCCGGGUCUGCAGCUCCAUGACCCUCUAACAAGGAAAACAUCAGCUACUCCCUGUGUCUCCAGCUCCAUGACCCUCUGAUCAGAAAAACAUCAACUCCCACCUGAGUCUCCAGACGCAGAAGACUCAAACUAGAACAACCUCAGCUCCUCCCCAGGUCUCCAGCUGCAUGACCCUCAAACUAGAACAUCAGCUCCUCCCUGCAUCUUCAACAGCACGAUCCUCAAACUAGAACAUCAGCUCCUCCCUGCAUCUUCAGCAGCAUGACCCUCAAACUAGAACAUCAGCUCCUCCCUGCAUCUUCAGCAGCAUGACCCUCAAACUAGAACAUCAGCUCCUCCCUGCAUCUUCAGCAGCAUGACCCUCAAACUAGAACAUCAGAUCCUCUCUGCAUCUUCAGCAGCAUGACCCUCAAACUAGAACAUCAGCUCCUCUCCAGGUCUCCAGCUGCACGACACUCAUACUAGAAAAAUGCCAGCUCCUCCCGGGUUCUAGAGCUACAGGACUCUCGAACUAAAAAACACUCGCUCUUCCCCAGGUCUCCAGCUGCAUGAACCACAAACUAGAACAACACCAGCUCCUUUUUGGGUCUCCAGCUGCAGGGCCCUCAAACAAAAACAUCAGCUUCUCCCUGAGUCUUCAGCUGCACGACCCUCAAACUAGAACAUCAGCUCCUCUCCGAGUCUCCAGUUGCAGGAAACUCAUACUAGAAAAAUGCCAGCCCCUUCCGAAUUCUACAGCUGGACGACCCUCAAAUUAAAAAAACACUCGCUCUUACCCAGGUCUCCAGCUGCAUGAACCUCAAACUAGAGCAACAUCAGUUCCUCCUCGAGUCUUCAGCUGUGCGACCUUCAAACUAAAAUAUCAGCUCCUCUCUGGGUUGCCAGAUGCAGGACACUCAUACUAGAAAAAUGCCAGCUCCUCCCAGGUUCUACAGCUGCAUGACCUUCAAACUAAAAAACACCCACUCCUCCCCAGGUCUCCAGCUGCACAAACCUCAAACUAGAACAUCAGCUCCUCUCUGGGUCUCCAGCACCAAGACUCUCAAAUUAGAGCAAUAUCAGCUCCUCUCUGGGUCUCCAGCUGCAGGACACUCAUACAAGAAUAAUGCCAGCUCCUCCCAGGUUCUACAGCUGCACAACCCUCAAACUAAAGAAACACCAGCUCCUCUCUGGGUCUGCAGCUGCACGAACCUCAAACUAGAACAAUAGCUCCUCUCCAGGUCUCCAGCUGCACGACACUCAUACUAGAAAAAUGCCAGCUCCUCCCAGGUUCUACAGCUGCACGACCCUCAAACUAAAAAACACCCACUCCUUCCCAGGUCUCCAGCUGCAUGAACCUCAGACUAGAACACCAGCUCCUUUCUGGGUCUCCAGCUGUAGGACACUCAUACAAGAAAACACCAGUUCCUCCCCAGGUCUCCAGCUGCAAGACCCUCAUACAAGAAAACACCAGUUCCUCCCCAGGUCUCCAGCUGCAAGACCCUCAAACUAGAAAAACACCAGCUCCUUCCAGGUUCUGUAGCUGCACGACCCUCAAACUAAAGAAACACCUGCUCCUCCCAGAGUCUGCAGCUGCACGAACCUCAAAAUAACAAACACCAGCUUUUCCCCAGGUCUCCAGCUGCAAGACCCUGAAACUAGAAAAACACCAGCUCCUUCCAGGUUCUAUAGCUGCACGACCCUCAAACUAAAGCAACACCUGCUCCUCCCAGAGUCUGUAGCUGCACGACCCUCAAAGUAACAAACACCAGCUUUUCCCCAGGUCUCCAGCUGCAAGACCCUGAAACUAGAAAAACACCAGCUGCUCCCUGGGUCUCCAGCUCCACAACUCUGAAACUAGAACAACAACAGCUCCUCCCCAAGUCUCCAGCUCCAUGACCCUCCACUUAAAAAAACAUCAGUUCCUCCCGGGUCUCCAGCUGCAUGACCUUCAAACUAGAACACCUCUCCCCACUGGAUCUCCAGCUCCACGACCCUCACAGAAGAACAGCAACACCAGCUCCUUCAUUGGUCUUCAGCUCUACAACCUAAGACAUCAGUGGCAGCACCGGAGCGUGGACCUCCAGCUCAAUGACUUUCAGACUUAAAAUGCAGCACCAUCUCCUCCCCAAGGCUCCAUCUCCACUACCUUCAGAUUUGAACAGCGGUAGCACCAGCUCCUGUCCGGACCUUCAGCUCCAUAACCCUCCCUGAACAAUCCCUUUUCAUGAAAUUCAGCAGUCAAGAAAACGGCAGCUGAAGUAAAUGAAUAAAUGUUUCUUUUUCA